AGAGUUUGAUCCUGGCUCAGAACGAACGCUGGCGGCAGGCUUAACACAUGCAAGUCGAGCGCAUCCUUCGGGGUGAGCGGCAGACGGGUGAGUAACGCGUGGGAAUCUACCUUUUGCUACGGAAUAGCUCCGGGAAACUGGAAUUAAUACCGUAUGUGCUCUUUGGCGGUGGACGCUGGAGAGGAAAGAUUUAUCGGCAAAGGAUGAGCCCGCGUUGGAUUAGCUAGUUGGUGGGGUAAAGGCCUACCAAGGCGACGAUCCAUAGCUGGUCUGAGAGGAUGAUCAGCCACAUUGGGACUGAGACACGGCCCAAACUCCUACGGGAGGCAGCAGUGGGGAAUAUUGGACAAUGGGCGCAAGCCUGAUCCAGCCAUGCCGCGUGUGUGAUGAAGGCCUUAGGGUUGUAAAGCACUUUCACCGGUGAAGAUAAUGACGGUAACCGGAGAAGAAGCCCCGGCUAACUUCGUGCCAGCAGCCGCGGUAAUACGAAGGGGGCUAGCGUUGUUCGGAAUUACUGGGCGUAAAGCGCACGUAGGCGGAUAUUUAAGUCAGGGGUGAAAUCCCAGAGCUCAACUCUGGAACUGCCUUUGAUACUGGGUAUCUUGAGUAUGGAAGAGGUGAGUGGAAUUCCGAGUGUAGAGGUGAAAUUCGUAGAUAUUCGGAGGAACACCAGUGGCGAAGGCGGCUCA
rnacentral:rRNA from 1 species